rnacentral:rRNA from 1 species
CCAUCCCAGUUCGGAUUGCAGGCUGCAACCCGCCUGCAUGAAGUUGGAAUCACUAGUAAUCGCGGAUCAGCAUGCCGCGGUGAAUGCGUUCUCGGGCCUUGUACACACCGCCCGUCACACCAUGAGAGUCGGGAACACCCGAAGUCCGUAGCCUAACCGCAAGGGGGCGCGGCCGAAGGUGGGCUCGAUAAUUGGGGUGAAGUCGUAACAAGGUACC